AUGCACUCACACUUUCUCUCUCUCUCUCUCUCUCUCAAAUAAAUAAAUAGAAUCUUCAGAAAAUGAAGGUGUAAAAGCUUUUAAGUUGCACAGGACAUACAAAUACACUGUGUCGUCUUUCACGCGAAUUGUGGUUCGGAUACCUGGUGCUCGGGUGCCUGCAGGUCCCUGGAGAGCGUGGGGGGCUGCUGGGGGGGCGCCUUGCCUCCGUGGCCCCCACAGCCCAGCCAGUUCGGGAGCCAGCUGCUGGCUGGGGAGCUACAUGAAUCCGUCUACACCCGGUGCGGUGCUUUGCCAGGAGGAGGCUUACCCUGAUCUGCAGGCACUUUCCUGCUCGGCAGCAGGAUGGGAACCACCGGCCGGAGGGGGGUUGACCUAGAACUCGGGCCUCCUUGAGGCCUCUUGCUGGGCUUGCCUGUUGGGCCCCUGCAGACACGAGCUCCUUGGUCCCGGGGUGGGGGGGAUUCCUAUGUCCUGGAACCCCGCUUACUCUGAGAAAUGGGGUAGCUUCCCCCUCGGGGUGGCAGCAGCGGCCUUGGCCCCGCCGGCUCUCCACCUGGCCCAGGCCUGUCCCUCCUUCGUGCUUCCCCAGGACCGCGGGGGGUGGCGCCCUGGGUAGGACGGACCUGUCGCACGGUGAACACCGAGACUUCAAAGCUCUGCCCUGGAAGGCGGGCUGAGCCCCGCGGGCCCCUGGAGUGGCGGCUCCCUGCCAGGCGUGUCCCGCCUAGGGCCGGUCUUCUCGAGGAUGCUCCAGGACGCCCUUCGCGGCAUUCCCUGCCACGGGCUCGUGACGCAGAACACGGGCCGCGGCCUGCGGGUCACACCCCCUUCCCGCACGCCGGUGUCCGCGGACACCGUGGGACACGGGGCUGUGGGGGCCCGCCCGCAGCACCCGCCUCCACCCCCCAUCGCUUCUCGGCCUUUGGGCGAAGAGCAGGUGCACCCGGGCCCCUUCCCAUCCUCCUUCCCGAGGCCAGAACUGCCUCCCUCAAACUCGUGCAGCUGUAGCUCUGGGUGGGAACCUGCUUCCCCCAUGAGAGAGGGCGCCUCCUUCAUCGUCCUUCAUCCUCCUCCAUCCUCCUCCAUCCUCCUUCAUCCUCCUUCACCCCGCGGUACUGUUUGCAGAGCCUCUGCAGCGCUCCAGGGCUGGCCGAGCAGCCUCGUCCCCACGGAGGGCCACGUCCCAGGGCCCUGGUCACCCCCUUCCAUGGAACCUGAGGAAGGAGAGAACAUUUUACCAAGUUGAGAAGAGUAACUGUCAGUGGGACAGAGCCAAUCCAAGGCAACCCUUGCAGAAGCUGGACUAUUCAAUAAAUACUCAGACCUCACUCUUCUCCUUCUCUCU
rnacentral:lncRNA from 1 species